rnacentral:rRNA from 1 species
AUUGAACGCUGGCGGCAGGCCUAACACAUGCAAGUCGAACGAGUGGCGGACGGGUGAGUAAUGUCUGGGAAACUGCCCGAUGGAGGGGGAUAACUACUGGAAACGGUAGCUAAUACCGCAUACCAUCAGAUGUGCCCAGAUGGGUUUAGCUUGUUGGUGGGGUAACGGCUAACCAAGGCGACGAUCCCUAGCUGGUCUGAGAGGAUGACCAGCCACACUGGAACUGAGAAACGGUCCAGACGCCUACGGGAGGCAGCAGUGGGGAAUAUUGCACAAGGGGCGAAAGCCUGAUGCAGCCAUGCCGCGUGUAUGAAGAAGGCCUUCGGGUUGUAAAGUACUUUCAGCAGAGAAGCGGUACCCGCAGAAGAAGCACCGGCUAACUCCGUGCCAGCAGCCGCGGUAAUUC